ensembl:lncRNA
CCACCAGGACAGUGACCAGCUAGGGCCCUGAUGGCUGCAAAGAGAGCUAGAGGGAGGCAGCUUCCUGGAGCUCAGUUGCACAACUCACCUGCCACUACUGCAAUUUCUGCAGUCGUCUUCUCCUGUAGUUUGCAGUCCAGGCACCAGGUGGAGAAGUGGAACCCAUGAAAAGAGACUAGUUCUAGGAGGAGCCGCCAGACUCCCUGGGGUCAGAGCAAAGGCGUGGCCUGGGGUCACAGAGGACACAGAAGGCUCAAACAGGGCCACCUCCUUCAGCACUGCUCUGCACCCUCCACACAGGAGCCAUCAGAGGCAGGAGAGGCCGUGUGCAUAGCAGCCCCACUCCAGAAGACUUCAUCAAAUUCACCUUUUAUGGCCUGGGGAUGCAGAUCAGUGGCAGAGUGCUAGCCUAGCCUGUGUGAGGCCCUGGGUUCAAGGGUGGGGUUUGGGGAUGCCCUUUAGAAGGAGAUUUCCAAGGAAAUACAAUCAGCAAAUUCAAGUUUGGGUGGGGCUGUACAUUACAAAGGGCUCAGGGACUUACAAGUGGCCCUCAUUCCUCUUUUGGUCUUUGUAAACACUGAACAGUUCCCACCCCACUGCAGGCUGCUGGGCCCCCUCCUCCUCUGUCACCCCCUCAGGAGGACACCUGCAGUGCUUUCCACAGUGCUGGAAACUCAGGCCCCUGUGGACCUCAGAGUCAUCUUUGAGGCUUGGUGAACUUCAGAGGUGGAAGCAGAGUAUCACCGUGGCUAAAAGGACACAAGCCAAGUUCACACAUGCAACCCAGGCUGUGGCUCUGUACAUUUGCAUCAGGAUGUAGUGCCCUGCCUGAGUGCCCUGAUGCCAGCUCCACAGGAGGACCUCUGGUGGCCAAGAACAGGAGGAAAGAAAGGAGAGAGAAGCAGUGGCCACACACAGCAGGACCUUACGGACUCCAGCUGACCAGGAGUCCAUGAUGCAGGGUGGCAGAGCUGACACUGCCCAUCAUGUUGGCCUCUUUCAACAUGAUGCUACUGAAGUGUUACCGUUCAUCCUGCCCAUCUCCAAAGCUCCAUGACUGCUUGUCCCAGGCUCCAGGUCUCUCCCAGAUCUGCAUGCAGUUGGAACUUGUUUCAUAUCUUCAAUAUUCAUCAGAAGGUCAAAAGACAUGAUUACAAGAGUGAGAAGGUGAACCUCAGAGUACGAGAAGACACUGGCCACAUGAAUCACCAAGACUUUUAUCCAGAACUGAUAAAGAACUCCAAAACAACAACAACAAAAAAUAUUGGCUGACAUCGCUAAUCCAAAAAUCCAAAAUUCAAAAUGCUCCAAAAUCUAAAACUAUCUGAGAGCCUAUUUGAUGCCCCAAGUGGAAAAUUCCACACCAGGAAACUUUAUUUCAUGCACAAAAUUAUUCAAAAUACUGUAUAGAAUCACCUCCAGUGUAUGUGUGUAAGGUAUGGAUGAAACUUAAAAGAAUCCCAUGUUUAGACUUGGAUCUCAUCCCCAAGAUAUCUCAUUAUGUACAUGCAAAUAUUCCAAAAUCCAAAGAAAUAUCCAAAAUCUGAAACACUUCUGGUCCCAAGCAUUUCAAAUAAGGGCUACUCAACCUGUGCAACCAGAUGGAAAAAUAGCAAAGACAAAAAUAAAAUCCUACAAAACAAACUGUCCAAAAGAACAUGGCCAUUCAAUGUA